GGUCAUUUGCCCAUUUUUAAAAAGGGGUGGGUGGGACGUUUUCAGACAGCUAUACAAAAUAAGCCCUGCUUGCACCAAACCCUUAACAUAAACAUAUCAAGCACAAGCUUAGCAGCUGCAUAGAAGUCAGCAUACAAAGAGUGGAAAGGCUUUUGAACUCAUGUUUCCAAAUUGGAUGGAUCUGCAGCGCUCGUAUUGGUGGCGGAUGAGGGGUAGACAGGAUCAAGCAUACUUCACAGGUCUCAUUAUGGACUUUCCAAGAAAUGGAGAAAUACAAACAAUAUUCUUAAACCAUCAUUCCUCUCCAAGUGAAAGCUUUAUGACUUUGGCUGAGAUGACUCUUUGCUACAAGCAAAAGGCUAGGAGGUUUGUCCCAGCCGAAAUUUCUACUGGAGCAACUGCUGCUGUUGGUAGACCUCCUAUGAGAGCCACGGACAGUAUGUCUUCCCUCAGAUGUUGUACCUUUUUCAUCUUGUUUCGCUAUAAUUUUAUUCAACAAUAUGAUUUGGAAAAAAUGUCCAUAAAUUCCUAUUUCAAAAUUCUGGGGAAACUUCUUGCUGUGCUUUAAUGCACUAGCAAACGUAGGCAGAUGUGUCUUUCUGUGAAACGUUAUGUCUGUAGUGUGUAGUAUUACGCAUAGUUGCUGCGAUCCCAGGGACCUCUUCUCUGUACUCUGGUCUGAUUUGGAGCCAGCGCUUUCUCUGGCAUUACACUGCAAUUAUUUAUAUCCACAAAUGUGAGUGUUAGUGACAAGCUGUUCAUUUGCAAUUGCGAUC
rnacentral:lncRNA from 1 species